UCCCUAAUGGCUCAGAAGGUAAAGAAUCUGCCUGCAAUGCAGAAGACACAGGAGACACAGGUUCAAUCCCUGAAUUGGGAA
rnacentral:tRNA from 1 species